GUACACUCCUGCGGGAGGCAGCAGUGGGGAAUUUUGGACAAUGGGCGAAAGCCUGAUCCAGCAAUGCCGCGUGAGUGAAGAAGGCCUUCGGGUUGUAAAGCUCUUUUGUCAGGGAAGAAACGGUGAAAGCUAAUAUCUUUUGCUAAUGACGGUACCUGAAGAAUAAGCACCGGCUAACUACGUGCCAGCAGCCGCGGUAAUACGUAGGGUGCAAGCGUUAAUCGGAAUUACUGGGCGUAAAGCGUGCGCAGGCGGUUUUGUAAGUCUGAUGUGAAAUCCCCGGGCUCAACCUGGGAAUUGCAUUGGAGACUGCAAGGCUAGAAUCUGGCAGAGGGGGGUAGAAUUCCACGUGUAGCAGUGAAAUGCGUAGAUAUGUGGAGGAACACCGAUGGCGAAGGCAGCCCCCUGGGUCAAGAUUGACGCUCAUGCACGAAAGCGUGGGGAGCAAACAGGAUUAGAUACCCUUGUAGUCCCA
rnacentral:rRNA from 1 species